rnacentral:rRNA from 1 species
GAUGAACGCUGGCGGCGUGCCUAAUACAUGCAAGUCGAGCGAACGGACGAGAAGCUUGCCUCUCUGAUGUUAGCGGCGGACGGGUGAGUAACACGUGGAUAACCUACCUAUAAGACUGGGAUAACUUCGGGAAACCGGAGCUAAUACCCGUUAAUAUUUUGAACCGCAUGGUUCAAAAGUGAAAGACGGUCUUGCUGUCACUUAUAGAUGGAUCCGCGCUGCAUUAGCUAGUUGGUAAGGUAACGGCUUACCAAGGCAACGAUGCAUAGCCGACCUGAGAGGGUGAUCGGCCACACGGGAACUGAGACACGGUCCAGACUCCUACGGGAGGCAGCAGUAGGGAAUCUUCCGCAAUGGGCGAAAGCCUGGCGGAGCAACGCCGCGUGGGUGAUGAAGGUCUUCGGAUCGUAAAACUCUGUUAGUAGGGAAGAACAGAUGUGUAAGUAAAUGUGCACAUCUUGACGGUACCUAAUCAGAAAGCCACGGCUAACUACGUG